rnacentral:tRNA from 1 species
GUUCCUGUUGUUGAACUACAACGGUGGUUUUUCAAGUCGCUGGUUUCGGUUAAAGCCCGGGCGGGAAUU